CCUCGGGAGGCUGCAGUGGGGAAUAUUGGACAAUGGGCGAAAGCCUGAUCCAGCCAUGCCGCGUGUGUGAAGAAGGCCUUCGGGUUGUAAAGCACUUUCAGUGGGGAAGAAAGCCUUGGGGCUAAUACCCUCGAGGAAGGACAUCACCCACAGAAGAAGCACCGGCUAACUCCGUGCCAGCAGCCGCGGUAAUACGGAGGGUGCGAGCGUUAAUCGGAAUUACUGGGCGUAAAGCGCGCGUAGGCGGUCUGAUAAGCCGGUUGUGAAAGCCCCGGGCUCAACCUGGGAACGGCAUCCGGAACUGUCAGGCUAGAGUGCAGGAGAGGAAGGUAGAAUUCCCGGUGUAGCGGUGAAAUGCGUAGAGAUCGGGAGGAAUACCAGUGGCGAAGGCGGCCUUCUGGACUGACACUGACGCUGAGGUGCGAAAGCGUGGGUAGCAAACAGGACUAGAUACCCGAGUAGUC
rnacentral:rRNA from 1 species